rnacentral:rRNA from 1 species
GACGAACGCUGGCGGCGUGCUUAACACAUGCAAGUCGAACGGAAAGGCCCUGCUUUUGUGGGGUGCUCGAGUGGCGAACGGGUGUGUAACACGUGAGUAACCUGCCCUUGACUUUGGGAUAACUUCAGGAAACUGGGGCUAAUACCGGAUAGGAGCUCCUGCUGCAUGGUGGGGGUUGGAAAGUUUCGGCGGUUGGGGAUGGACUCGCGGCUUAUCAGCUUGUUGGUGGGGUAGUGGCUUACCCAGGCUUUGACGGGUAGCCGGCCUGAGAGGGUGGCCGGGCACAUUGGGACUGAGAUACGGCGCAGACCGCUACGGGAGGCAGCAGUGGGGAAUAUUGCACAAUGGGCGGAAGCCUGAUGCAGCAACGCCGCGUGCGGGAUGACGGCCUUCGGGUUGUAAACCGCUUUCGCCUGUGACGAAGCGUGAGUGACGGUAAUGGGUAAAGAAGCACCGGCUAACUACGUG